CACGUUGCCCCCUGAGGAUGUCCUAAAAUCAAUCUUUGACGACAUACAGCUUGAGAACGAAAAGCCAGUGACGAAGACUGAGAGCAUGCACAGCCUAGCCAUGGGCAGCGGGCAGGAGAGGUGCACCAUGUCCUGUCCAAGGCUGCUGAGGUCCCACAAAAUGAGGGUGGUCACUAUCGCUCUCUCCGUCAACCUCUUCAUCUCGUCUCUCGUGUAUUGUGGCUUGAGUCUGAGUGGCGCCAUCUACAGUUCUGACCC